rnacentral:rRNA from 1 species
CCUACGGGAGGCAGCAGUGAGGAAUAUUGGUCAAUGGGCGGAAGCCUGAACCAGCCAAGCCGCGUGCGGGAUGAAGGUCCUCCGGGUCGUAAACCGCUUUUGCACGGGGAUAACACCCUCCACUAGUGGAGGUCUGCAGGUACCGUGCGAAUAAGCGCCGGCUAAUUCCGUGCCAGCAGCCGCGGUAAUACGGAAGGCCCGGGCGUUAUCCGGAUUCAUUGGGCUUAAAGGGAGCGUAGGCGGGCGUUCAAGUCAGCGGUAAAAGCGCGCGGCUCAACCGCGCCCCGCAGUUGAAACUGGACGACUUGAGUGCACGACGGGCAGGCGGAAUUCGUGGUGUAGCGGUGAAAUGCAUAGAUAUCACGAGGAACCCCGAUUGCGAAGGCAGCCUGCCGGGGUGCGACUGACGCUGAGGCUCGAAGGUGCGGGGAUCAAACAGGAUUAGAUACCCGUGUAGUC